CAAUAGCGUAUAUUAAAGCUGUUGCGGUUAAAAAGCUCGUAGUUGGAUUUCUGUCAAGUACAACUGGUCCGCCCUCCGGGUGAGCACAUAGUUUGGUCUUGGCAUCUUGCUGGAAAUUGUUGCUGCACUUGGCUGUGUGGCGCAGUGUUCAGCACUUUCACUUUGAGGAAAUUGGAGUGUUUCAAGCAGGCACAUGCCUUUGGACACAGUAGCAUGGAAUAAUUAGAUUGGGCUUUUGCUCCAAUUUGUCGGUUUCUGGAGCUGAGGUGAGUAUUAAUGGGGAUUGUUGGGGGCAUCCGAAUUUAGCCGUCAGAGGUGAAAUUCUUGGAUCUGCUAAAGACGGACAACUGCGAAAGCGUUUGCCCAGGAUGUUUUCAUUGA
rnacentral:rRNA from 1 species